CGGCUGUGAUUCUGAAGCUCUCUCCCUCCUUCACAGAGUCCUGGGGAAGCUGGAUCUGAUCAGCUGAGAUGAAGAGCUGUAUAUCAUUAAGGACGUGGAUGAAGUCAAAGGUGUUCUGACCUCUCGAGGCCAUGCACUCCCCAAGAUCAAGACCUCUGAAGAUAUUCUGUGAUAUCUGGCACUAAGGAAUCAUAGCAGAUCUUAUCAGUCCUCUAAAUUGAUAGAUUUCUGUGUAUCUAAUGAAUAAGCUCUGGGCACUCAUGAUCCUCUACUGCAGCUGCUGCACCAGCUGUCUUUUCUUGGAGCACUUUUGGUUUGUUCUAACCACUGCAUAUCGGGAACCCCCGACAAGAUCUGCCAUUUUGGAGAUGCUCUGACUUUGAUGUGUAGCCAGUCAUAAGAAAAUAUGAUUAGCAUAUUGCAAUAUUUAAUUUUUGGAGCACUGUAUUGGUUUUCAAAAUGUUUGAUUAUUAAUUACUUGUUUUAAUGUAAAGAUUAGUGACGGACGGUGGUUCAUUAGGUGUUGUGUUUAAACUUUGAUCCAUAGACAGCAGUGUUGUUUUCUGUGAUAAGAUCCCAGUGUUCUGAUUGGAUAAAAAGUAAACUUUUUUUUUAUUUCAUAAAUAUAUUGGAUGUUGUUAUUUUUUUUUUAUAGUGUUCGAUGUGAACAAUCACAAUACAGUACCAGUCAAAAGUUUGGACGCACCUUUUCUCAUUCAUUGUGCUUUCUUACAUUUAAUUUAAUUUAAUGUAAUAUUAAAGACAUUAAAGCUUUACAGGAACACAUUGAGAAUUAUUUAAACAAAGCAGAAUAUGUUUUAUACUUUAUACAUUAUCUUUGAGGACAGAUCUGUACACGCUUGUGUCUUGAGGGAGAGUCACCUGGAAAAGUUUUCUCAGUGUCUUGAAGAAAGGAGUUCCUGGAGGUGCUGAACAAGCUCCAGCUCAUCCCAAAUCAACUCAAAUCACCAUCUCAGUGAAGUUUAGUUCAGGGAAUUGUGGAGGCCAAAACCCUUUUAAAACUGUUUACUACAUAAUCCCACAUAAUCCCUUAAUUAUUUUUUAUGUAUUUAAUAUUAAUAUACAAUGUAGAAAAUAAAUUAAAUAAAGAAAUAAAGACAAAGAUUGAAUUGGAAGGUAUAUCCAAACUUUUGACUGGUACUGUAUCUCACAGUAUGAUAAUAUAUCGAGAUAUAUUGAAUCAUAAACCUCUGUGUCAUCAUACAUAUUACCAAUUUCUUGCAUGUACAAGCUUUUUCAUUGUUCCCAUUUACAACACGUUAACUUCAAGAACUGACUGUUCACUUGCUGCCUAAUAUGUGUUUCCCGCUCCUUGAAAAGAGGCAUUUUAAGAAAAAAAAAAUAAGGUUCUUCUUGUCACCUGUAAGUUUUAAGGUUUUAAUAUUAUGGCUGGUUGGUGCUUAGGCCGCUAUUUAAAGGUUUUGGGGGGCUGUUUUCGCAUGCGAGUCGAUCAUCUUCCUUUAAACAGACAGAAAUGCUGCAGUAUCAAAUGCAAAAUGGCUGGAGUCCUAAAUCUGGAAAUGUGUAUUGUAAAAUAAUUCUUAAUUCACUCUAUAUAAAACACUUUCACUCAG